GGAGAUGUGGCUCAGUGGUACAGCAUCUACUUUGUAUGCAGAAGGUCCCAGGUUCAAUCCCAGGCAUCUCCA